GACGAACCGUCCUAACGUUGUUCGGAAUCACUGGGCUUAAAGGGCGCGUAGGCGGACCACCAAGUCCGGGGUGAAAUCCUCCGGCUUAACCGGAGAAUUGCCUGGGAUACUGGUGGUCUUGAGGGAGGUAGGGGCACGCGGAACUUCCGGUGGAGCGGUGAAAUGCGUUGAUAUCGGAAGGAACGCCGGUGGCGAAAGCGGCGUGCUGGCCCUCUUCUGACGCUGAGGCGCGAAAGCCAGGGGAGCGAACGGG
rnacentral:rRNA from 1 species